CCCUUAUAAAAGGUAAAAUAUCGUUCAAUUUCUUUCUCUCCUAGUUGCUUUAGGUCUAUUUUUACAGUCAUAGACAUUUAGGUUGCAGUAAGUACUCGGUUUAUAGAUAUCGGUACUGAAAAAAUUUGGAGGUUAGAUCACGUUAUGCACUCAUAGUGUGAAAAUGGGAAAAUCGCACAGAUCUUCCUCUCGAUCUAGUUCUGUCUCCAGCACGGACGCUCAUAGACGAAGCCGUCGAGACAAAUCCGACCUCGAAAGGCGUUUACGCCAUUUGGAACGAAAAGUUCGCAAAUCUCGUCACGCCCGGAAACAUCAUACCAGGCGUAGUCGUUCCACAACUCUUUCUCCACGUCAUACACAUGAACGUGGGGAAAGAACAAGUCCUCUUCACAGCAGCAAGGAGUCAGAAGGGUUUGAUCGCGGCACAUUUUCUCGAUGCCCGACCCCUAUUUCUCUGCCAACCAACGGUGGCGAGCCUGAGACCGCUGAUGUACUUGUUUGCUUGGAACCCGACCUCGAAAAAGAUGUUUUAGCCUUGUUAGGGGAUGACCCAUCAGAAAAAUCUGAGGAGAUUCACCUUCAUGAAGCACUAACUGUGCGUUGGAACUAUAACCUCACACGAGGUUUGGAUGCUCAGGUAAAAACAGCAUUAUUGGGGAAAUACCAAACACCAAUCAAUUGCGAAUUACUCAAAGCACCAGAAAUCAACCCUGAAAUUCUACCUGCAUUAGCCGAUAUACAAAUCAAGAAGGAUAAGUAUCAACGUUUAGCUCAAUCUCAAUUGGGCGUCGGUCUCACCUCACUAGGUGAAGCUUUGACCCUUCUUCUGAAGGAGAGUGGUUCCCGAAAUGAGGAAUUAUUGAAAUUGUUGAUAGAUUCCGGAAAAAUUUUGACAGAUCUUUUCUUUAAUAUGUCCCGAUCUAGAAGAGCCAACAUUGCUCAAAAUCUUAAUAAGUCUAUGAAGGACAUAAUCCAGAAAGAUACACCAGGUCACUUUCUGUUUGGAGAGGACUUAAGUGAACGCAUUAAAUCUGCAAAGACUUUACAGAAGUCAAGUCAGGACCUCAAAGCGGUACCAGAUAAAUUAAUAGUAAAAACCCCUAAAAUCAGUCAAAAAAGAGGGGGGGGAGGAACAACUAAUUACCCAUCCACCUCCAGGUCUUUAAACUCGAGGAGCUCGUUUCGGUCAACGAGGGACCUGAAACAAAAAGGGCGAGAUCCUCGACCGUAUCAGAGUUACAAAAAUUACCGGAGUCGCAGUCCCUCACGCCCCAACAAACGUUAGAGUUACGAACAACACCCUCUGAGGCUUACCCUGGUUGCCGCACUUUUGUCAGGGAAGUUUUUCUCAGAAGAAAAAUACCCGAACAAUCAAUCCCCAUAAUGUUGCAGUCUUUGUCGACCGGGACUUUAAAGCAGUAUGACUGCACAUACAGCAGCUGGUGGCUUUUCUGUUCAAAGUUCAAUCUAUGUCCUUAUACUGCUACUUCCAAUGAGGUACUACAAUUUUUGCAGGACAUAUUUACCUCAAAAAAUUAUAGUUAUGGGACGUUUAAUUCCCAUCGCUCAGCUUUAUCUUUAAUCAUUCCUGAUAUUGGAACUAAUAUUUACAUAAAACGAUUUUUGAAGGGAAUAGCGCGACUUCGCCCGGUACGUCGCAAAUACGAGUUUACUUGGGAUCCCAGUAAGGUCUUAGAUUUUUUGAAUAACUGGUUUCCUAAUACCAACCUUUCAUUGCAAAAACUCACGUACAAAUUGAUCACGCUGUUAGCACUGAUCACUGGACAUCGUGUUCAAACACUAUCCUUGAUUAAAUUAUCAAAUAUUCUUAAGAUGGAUACCAAAAUUCAGAUCCGAAUAACAGAAAACAUUAAAACGUCUUUAGUGACUAAAAACGAACCGUGCCUUCAAAUCCCUUUCUUUAACGAACAACCUGGAAUUUGUGCUGCUCUAACCUUAUCAGACUAUAUCCAGAGGACUGCUCAGAUUCGUAAAGAUGUUGACUCUCUGUUCCUGACAAUAAAAUCACCUCAUAAAGAAGCUAAUAAACAAACAUUAAUAUUUUCUCAGCUCAUUCAACUAGACAUGCGUCAUCAUCUGCAGCUUUACGCAAAGGCAUUUCAUUGGAUGUAAUCCAUAAGACUGCAGGUUGGUCCGAAAAGUCACAAACUUUUGCCAAAACCUACAAUCUGCCUCUAGCUGCAGAGACCGAUUUUGCCAAGGCAAUUAUGCAAUGAGUCAUGUGCCUUUUUUUUCCUUUUCGUUAUUAAAAGAAUAUAUGUUUUGUUUAUCUUUAAUUUUACAAUGUAGACGCUCAAAUAAACUUUUGAUGUUAUUGGGCCCCUUUUCUACGUUGUCACAACCUUUCUCU